GCCUCGUGGACGACAACCAAUUCUCCUUGUCCAUCAUCAACGAAGCGACUCCACUCAGCUUCAUACACAACGAUUGUGACAACAUCGUUCAGAGCAUCAUUCACAUAAGGAACCGGUGGGAGUUGAGUCAGCCGGAUUCCGUGACAGUCCACCAGAAGAUCCGGCCGAAGGACGUCCCGGGGACGCUUCUCAACAUGGCGCUGCUCAACCUCGGCUCCUGCGACCCCAACCUCAGGACUGCGGCCUACAACCAGCUGUGCGCCCUCACCGCCACCUUCCAUCUGAAGAUCGAGGGUCAAUUGCUGGAGACUUCAGGUCUAUGCAUCCCUUCAAACAACACGAUCUUCAUAAAGUCUGUGAGCGAGAAACUGGCUCACAACGAGCCUCAUCUCACUCUGGAAUUCCUAGAAGAGUGUA
rnacentral:lncRNA from 1 species